rnacentral:rRNA from 1 species
GACGAACGCUGGCGGCGUGCUUAACACAUGCAAGUCGAACGGAAAGGCCCCUUUGGGGGUACUCGAGUGGCGAACGGGUGAGUAACACUUGAGUAACCUGCCCUUGACUUCGGGAUAACUUCAGGAAACUGGGGCUAAUACCGGAUAGGAAUCCUUGCUGCAUGGUGGGGGUUGGAAAGUUUCGGCGGUUUUGGAUGGACUCGCGGCUUAUCAGCUUGUUGGUGGGGUAGUGGCUUACCAAGGCUUUGACGGGUAGCCGGCCUGAGAGGGGGACCGGCCACAAUGGGACUGAGAGACGGCCCAGACUCCAACGGGAGGCAGCAGUGGGGAAUAUUGCACAAUGGGCGGAAGCCUGAGGCAGCAACGCCGCGUGCGGGAUGACGGCCUUCGGGUUGUAAACCGCUUUCAGCAGGGGCGAAGCUUGUGGUGACGGUACCUGCAGAAGAAGCACCGGCUAACUACGUG